AAAAAUAGUAAAAAAUAAAUACCCCCCGUAUUUUUAUCAUCUUAGCACAAUAACUGUCUUUUAGAGUAUGUUUUCUUAUGCAUUUUUCCUCUGUGGUUACAAACAUGACAGUAGGUAAGCUUGGUCAGACGUUGGAGUUGGGGCACCCAUAGGAAUUCCUUUCUUUGUGACACUGAAAUGUAGAUACUAGAAUUUAAAUUUAUAAUUUCUUUCUGAGUCUGCUCUAACCUACCAGUGAACCAGCCAUUCAUGCUUGGCUGAUGUGCUAUGAAUUCUUAUGAAGGGUGAAGGGAAUGGUAUCGCGGGAGCUGAUGUAGAAAGAGUAUCAGCCUAUUGGGACACCUACUCCAGGAUUCCAGAUGGUACUGGGCAAGGCCAGAGAGUGUCCACAGAGUAGCUGGCAGUGGAAUUUCCCAGGGUCUUAGAGAAAUGUGCAUGGAAAACAGUGCCACCGUCAGCCAUUGAAGAUACGUAGAGUAAAAACUUUAAAUAGACAUUUAUGUAAAAAAUAAGAGAGAAAAAUGUGAGAUAUAAGGGUAAAUCCAGCAGGCCCAGUAUAUGACAGACGUUCUAGAAAAAAGAAGAGAUAUGGCAGAAAAAAAAUUACCAAAGACAUAAAAGGAAACAUCCAAAAUUAGAAGACAGAAGAAAGACAAAAGUAUAAAGAUAAAAAGAACGCAUAAAGUUCAAAACAGAGCAUGAGAAAAAAAAUGACUAAUAUGGACAUAUAUUCCCAUGAGAUUCAGUUACUUCUAGGAAAAAAGACAAUCCCAAUAUCAAUAGUUUUUUUAAAAAUAUAGCUCUAUAACACUGGCAAUUCAACUCACACAAAAUAAUUUAAGCUUCAUAAUGAAAACAAGUUAAGGGAUGUUUUACCAAAUCUUUAAAUCUUAUUCUCUAUGUCUAGUCCUUAUGAUGGAGCAUGAUAAUGUUAGAAAAAAAAAUGUAUACAUGUAUGUGUAACUGGGUCACCUUGCUGUACAGUAGAAAAUUGAAAGAACUCUGUAAACCAGCUAUAAUGGAAAAAAUAAAAAUCAU
rnacentral:lncRNA from 1 species